rnacentral:lncRNA from 1 species
GAGCUGAGGCCCAGUGUCCCUUACGCCCAUGUUCCUCUGGCCAAAGCAAAUCACAUGACUGACAUUAACAGAGAGAAGAAGCUGCUCUGCUCAAGGGGACAGGCACUGCAAAGAUAUCUGGCAAGGAUGUGGAUGUCUUACUGGGGAACAAAGAAUUGUGACCCAUAAUCUAGUGUAUUUCAGAAGGCUUGGGAAGCCCUCAGAGUAGGUGGCAUUCGAACUAACACCUGAACAAAGAGAAAGAAUCAGCCCUGUGAUGAUCUUGAGGACUAGUUCCAAGCAGAGGACUCAGUUGGGAGAAGGUCCUAUGGCAGGAACAGACUUGAAGGAGUGGAUGAAACAAGAAGAAUCAAGUAUGACUGGAUGGGACUGAGCAAGAGGAGGCUUGGAGAGGUCCAUCAGCUUGUGAUGGAGAGCGAAACACCAGGUUAGGAGCAGCUACAGGCCAGAAGAGGAAUGUCCUACGUGAACGUGAUUUAACAGCUCCAUCGCCUGGGGCCACGUGGAAUUCUUGAAGCAGCUGUGUCAGACAUCCGAGUCAAGUUGGGGCAUGAGUGACCUCUCAACAUCUAAUGGAGCAUUUACUCCUUAGGCAGUUGAUGACAAUAGUUCUCCAAACCUGCUGAUCCCAAGGUGGCAGGUUUCCCGGUCAGCUGUGGCUCUGAAGUAGGAGGGGUUUGCAGGAGUAUCACACACAGCUGUAGAAGGAACAGAAUCAGAGCUGGAGAGGGAGAAUUGCUCCAUGGCCAUGAGUGGGUGUCCUCUCAAGCGGAGCCCCGAGUCCAGUAGAACUUGAGGCUUUUCGCCAACCCACGAAGUGCAGAUGGUAACGCUUGCUGUUGUGUCCCUGAGACUAUAUAGGGCCUAGUGUCUGGUUUAUGCCCUUGCACUGGGUCACUCUCACCCUGGAAUCACCCGGCUGGGGACUGAACCUCUCCUGCCACCACUCCAACUCCUCCUGAGACACUCACCUCCUAAGACACUCACCUCCUGGAAAGGCCACAUCUGUUUGCCAAGGACAGAGGCACCUUCUUUGGUCCAGAGAGCUGCAGGCUGUGGUUUAUUUCGCUGGCGACCUCUUCAUCACCAGGACUGUUCCAUAGAGUGCUGUGGUACCCGUGAAAGCCAAACUUCUAAGCUUCUCAAGUUCAAAUGAUAACUUCUCUCUGUUACCUUUUGUCAAGAAAACUUUGGAUUAUGAAUCUCCGUUAUGGGGGCUCAUAAAAUGAAUUGGGGUGCAUUCAUAGAGUUGGAACACUCUGGAGCCACUGAAAAGAAUGCGGCAAAGCUGUAAAAAGGAAAGAUGUCUGUGAUAUCAUCUAUAUUCUUUUAUGUUGUUAAGUGACAAAAUCCAGCUGUAGAGGAGCAUGAAUUGUUUUAUUCCAUGUUUAUUACAUAAUGAGUGUAGUGUCGGGAAAGCCAUAUACCAAAUUGUUCACAAUGGUUAUCUUGGGGGAGUGGAGCUUGGGAACUUGUACUCUUUGCUUGAUGCAUCUCUGCUUUGUCUCUCUCUUGAAUCAGCAUGAAUAAUUUUUUAAAAUUAGAAAACCUUCUUAUUAAUAUGGAGGUAAAUAUUGGGGCAGUCCAAGAUGGCAGCGGUCUCACGGUGAGGCCCUUGUUUUAUGGGAAGAACAUGAAGGUAGGAGUUUAAGAAACCCGAUUUUUCUCUUAACCAGGGGUUUUUCCUAAUUUUUUGUGCCAUGAUCCCUCAGGACAGUGUGAUGAAGUUUUUGGCUCCCUUCUCAGAACAAUGCCUUAGGGGCAUAACGUGAAAUACGUAGAAUUACAAAAGAAGCCAAAUAUAUUGAAAUAUAGUUAUCAAAAUACUUUUUAAAAAUUUUAUGAUAUAGUAAUAUAUGUGUAUUAAAAUAUAAGAUCUGGCUGCAGGUCUAAUAACGAUUUAAUUUAAAACUAGCCAUGAGCAUAAGUGAUAUUUUGAGAAAUCUGCAACAGCUGAAUAUUGCAUGAAAAUGUCUGUGACUUCUGGUGACAAAGUCAGAUGUGCUAGUGCUACUGUGGUUUGUCACCUUCUUCAUAAAUGAAGAAAAUGCUAGAUUGUAGUUAGAGGUAGUGAAAAUAAAGACGUAAUUUCCCAUCCAAUAUCAUAGAUCCCUGUUUAAAUUUCCCAGCCUAACAUCUAAUGUUCUUAACUGGCUGGGAAGUGUUGAAUAAUAUUGUUCCCGCCCUCACAGUCUCAACUGUUUCAUCAGUAAAAUGAGGGGCUAAGUGAUGGCAAAUGUGUAUGAUCUUACAUGUCAACUGUGAUUGAUUGGUAGUGACUUGGUGAGGCAUUUUGAGAUCACCUCUGAGUUCAAUUGGAAAGGAUGCCAAUUGGAAAGGAUGAAUGAUUGGUGAUGUCUGCCAUGGGUACUAGAUGGGGGAGAGAGCAAAGCGUGCAUGGCGUACAUGUCCAUUCCUUGACUAGAUGAGCCUGUGGCCCCUUCCACCUCUGAUAUUCUACUAUGUAUGAAAGUAAUUAUUCUCUUCUGAUUCUAAUUUAACAUAUCUCCUGUCCAACAACAAGAGCAACAACACAAGCAUUGGUUAGCCCUUCCUGGGGGCUUUGUGUGUGUGUGGCAUUGGCACUACCAACUCUACCCCUGUGGACCAAGUCUUCUGAUAGACUUUUUAUUAAGUAAAAUUGUAAGCAUUACCUCCAGUUUCAAUGAUAGAAUGGUUACUGGGAACAGAUUGUCUAGGAAGAAAACACAAAUUAGUAAACACAGUCUUACAAAUGAGCCAUCUGGAGAUUUAUUUACAUAAGAAAAGAGGAAGGACUUGGUAUUUUCAUGCUGGGGUUUGUUUCUCUUGCAAGUAGCCACAGGGGUGUAUUUAUCACGAGCACACAUUGAGCUUUUUAGUGAAGAUCACUGAAAGCAUGAAAAAAAAAUGCGCAUUUGGUUGGUUAUUUGGGAAAUGGGAAGGAAGAGAAGGGAGAGAGUAAGAGAGUCACACAUACACAUAUGCACACAAAGUUUUUGAAUGAAUUUUAGCAUAUAAGAUUUCAAAAUAGUUACAAUAUUUCACACCGUGCUUUUGAAAUUUUAUAUUAUUCCCAAAGUGCUAAAUGAGAAACAUUUUUCUAAAACAAUAUCAAAGGUGGAGGCAUUCAGCUAUCACGCAAAUAUAGAGGGGCCACGAAUAAUGCUGAGGGGACCAAAACCUUGACACCAGUUGACCAGCAGUGGGAACAGUGAUCCCUUGACCUCAGAGAGCUCCCUGGGUGUCAGACCAGCUCUGCAGAACCACUUAACCCCUCCUGCACCUUGUCCUUUUAUCCACUAAUACUAAAUGCCAAAAACUAAAAAACCCAAAUUUGUGAUACAGUGAUAUAUGUGCUCUUUCAAUGCAUUAAAAUACAAGAUCUAGCUGUAGGUCUGAUAACUACUAUCAUUUAGAAUUAGC